rnacentral:rRNA from 1 species
UACGAAGGGGGGCUAGCGUUGCUCGGAAUCACUGGGCGUAAAGCGCACGUAGGCGGAUUGUUAAGUCAGGGGUGAAAUCCUGGAGCUCAACUCCAGAACUGCCUUUGAUACUGGCGAUCUUGAGUCCGGGAGAGGUGAGUGGAACUGCGAGUGUAGAGGUGAAAUUCGUAGAUAUUCGCAAGAACACCAGUGGCGAAGGCGGCUCACUGGCCCGGUACUGACGCUGAGGAGCGAAAGCGUGGGUAGCAAACAGGA